rnacentral:misc_RNA from 1 species
GCAAACUUGGUCAUUUAGAGGAAGUAAAAGUCGUAACAAGGUUUCCGUAGGUGAACCUGCGGAAGGAUCAUUAAAGAGUUAGGGUCUUCUAGGCCCGAUCUCCCAACCCUUUGUUUACCCAAACCAUCGUUGCUUCGGCGGGCCCGUCCUUAACGGACCGUCGGAGGACUGUCAAAGGUCCUCUGACCCGCGCCCGUCGGUGGCCAACUUACCUAAAUUCUUAAGUAAACGUGUCAUUAUCUGAGUACUAUAUAAAAAUAAAAGCAAAACUUUCAACAACGGAUCUCUUGGUUCUGGCAUCGAUGAAGAACGCAGC